rnacentral:rRNA from 1 species
AGUCGAGCGGUAAGGCCCUUCGGGGUACACGAGCGGCGAACGGGUGAGUAACACGUGGGUGAUCUGCCUCGUACUUCGGGAUAAGCCUGGGAAACUGGGUCUAAUACCGGAUAUGACCUUCGGAUGCAUGUCUGAGGGUGGAAAGAUUUAUCGGUACGAGAUGGGCCCGCGGCCUAUCAGCUUGUUGGUGGGGUAAUGGCCUACCAAGGCGACGACGGGUAGCCGGCCUGAGAGGGCGACCGGCCACACUGGGACUGAGACACGGCCCAGACUCCUACGGGAGGCAGCAGUGGGGAAUAUUGCACAAUGGGCGAAAGCCUGAUGCAGCGACGCCGCGUGAGGGAUGACGGCCUUCGGGUUGUAAACCUCUUUCGACAGGGACGAAGCGCAAGUGACGGUACCUGUAGAAGAAGCACCGGCCAACUACGUGCCAGCAGCCGCGGUAAUACGUAGGGUGCGAGCGUUGUCCGGAAUUACUGGGCGUAAAGAGCUUGUAGGCGGUUCGUCGCGUCGUUCGUGAAAACUUGGGGCUCAACCCCAAGCUUGCGGGCGAUACGGGCGGACUAGAGUACUUCAGGGGAGACUGGAAUUCCUGGUGUAGCGGUGAAAUGCGCAGAUAUCAGGAGGAACACCGGUGGCGAAGGCGGGUCUCUGGGAAGUAACUGACGCUGAGAAGCGAAAGCGUGGGUAGCGAACAGGAUUAGAUACCCUGGUAGUCCACGCCGUAAACGGUGGGUACUAGGUGUGGGGUUUCCUUCCACGGGAUCCGUGCCGUAGCUAACGCAUUAAGUACCCCGCCUGGGGAGUACGGCCGCAAGGCUA